AAGUCGUAACAAGGUUUCCGUAGGUGAACCUGCGGAAGGAUCAUUAUCACGUAUCCACGUAUAAACCAUUGUGAACUGUUCUUUUAAACCUUUAGAGUGGGCUGAGUCUGUGUGAACUAGGUAAUUAAAGCAACCUAUUAGUGAUUGGUUGUGCUUAGUUCGCCUCAACUGUUGUCUCUCCGGAGUCGCUUUUGAACUUACCCGCUUUGAAGUGUAAUUUAAUCACUUACUAUUAACCAUUUUAACCCAUCUUUAUAACUUUUUGAACUAACUUAUUUCAUACUCUGCGGAGAUGAAAUUCAUUACGAAACAAAGAACAACUCUUAGCAACGGAUAUCUUGGUUCUC
rnacentral:misc_RNA from 1 species